rnacentral:rRNA from 1 species
UGUCCAGGGCUUCACACAUGCUACAAUGGCCGGUACAGAGGGCUGCGAUACCGUGAGGUGGAGCGAAUCCCUUAAAGCCGGUCUCAGUUCGGAUCGGGGUCUGCAACUCGACCCCGUGAAGUCGGAGUCGCUAGUAAUCGCAGAUCAGCAACGCUGCGGUGAAUACGUUCCCGGGCCUUGUACACACCGCCCGUCACGUCAUGAAAGUCGGUAACACCCGAAGCCGGUGGCCUAACCCUUGUGGAGGGAGCCGUCGAAGGUGGGAUCGGCGAUUGGGACGAAGUCGUAACAAGGUAGCCGUACCGGAAGGUGCGGCUGGAUCACCUCCUUUCUAAGGAG